UACAGAGGGUGCGAGCGUUAAUCGGAAUUACUGGGCGUAAAGCGCGCGUAGGCGGCUUUGCAAGUCGGGUGUGAAAUCCCCAGGCUUAACCUGGGAACUGCAUUCGAGACUGCAUUGCUAGAGUAUGGGAGAGGGAAGUGGAAUUUCAGGUGUAGCGGUGAAAUGCGUAGAUAUCGGAAGGAACAUCAGUGGCGAAAGCGACUUCCUGGACCAAUACUGACGCUCAUGUGCGAAAGCGUGGGGAGCAAACAGGAUUAG
rnacentral:rRNA from 1 species